UUACAUCCGUGUUGAUAGAGACUGCCGAAGCUGCUAACCACUGUACAAAAGUCUAUUUUGCUGCGUGAGGAACCAAAUGUGGACAAUUGAAACGGAUCUGGGCGCUGGGUGCAGACGAGUGGCUCUAUUGUGGUGGUGGUGUGUCCUUCACCGUGUGUUGUGCUUCUCACUGACACCAGUCUGUGUGUGUGUGCUAUGUUCACCUGAUUGUAGUGAUUAAUUUGGCAUAUGAUACUGCCCCAGUUGGUAAGACCCAGCUCCUUGCCCAUAGCAGAAGUGUUUUACGAUGAGUGGCCAUAUUUUUAAUAUUUG